CCAGGGCUUAGAGAAGCUUCUCUAUCUUCUUGAUCUGAACUUGGCAGGAAAUAGGAUUACAGAAAUUGGGAAUUCUCUCAAUGGAAACUUUAAUCUAAAAACUUUAAAUUUGUCAGCAAAUUGCAUGGCAUCCUUAAAGAUGGGAGUCAGAAAAACUGGGUCAAUCAACAGGGACAGUGGAAUAGAAAUUCCAGAAGCUUUGAUGCCCAUGAUCAAAAAACACAACAACAGGAGAGCUGUGCGACAGCAGACCGCCAAGGGAGCUAAUAUAAUCAAUGAGUGUCAAACAGCAAGGAUCGAUAUGCACCAAUCAGAGCUGUUGAAAAACAACUAAUCACAGCAGAGCAUCAUGCUUUAUAAGAUCACACAUGACCAGUUGACAUCAUCACUUGAAGUAGACUAGCAGUAUGCAGUUGAAACGUCGUGAUCUACAUCACAUGUGACUAGAUCAUGAGACAAACAAAAAACUUAGCUUUUAUUGUUAUUCACCACAAUGAAUAACCACAGCCUUUUUUUAAGAAGGAGAAUUUGUUUAACAAUUGAAGCUUCUUUGGAUGGUGAUCAUUUUCUUAAUUCUCAUGAUCUUAAUGGAUGAUUGAGCAGUAUUACUGUAGGGAGAAAUUAGAUGCUAGUCACUCUUACAGUUUAACCUUUAAAGACCAAGACAGAAAUUCUCCUUACAAUAGAGAAUUUGUUUAACUAUUAAAGCUUCUUUGGAUGGUGAUCAUUUUCUUAAUUCUCAUGAUCUUGAUGGAUGAUUCACCAGUAUUACUCUAAGGAGAAAUUAGAUGCUGGUCACUCUUCUGGUUUUAAAGCAUCAAUGGGAACUGUUGUAGGGACUUGUCUCACUGGGAGUGCCAAUUUAAACUGGGAUUAUUUUUCCCCUCAGAUUAUAGAAGAAUUUUUAACUUACCAAGUACUGUAAAAGAACUGUCUAUGGAGUUAUGUGUUUACUCCUCCACUAAAACUUCUCUUUUUAACUCUGUGUAGAAUUCUUAAUCAAUAGUGGGGCCACUUUUAUAGGGAGU